GAUGAACGCUGGCGGCGUGCUUAACACAUGCAAGUCGAACGAUGAAGCCCAGCUUGCUGGGUGGAUUAGUGGCGAACGGGUGAGUAACACGUGAGUAACCUGCCCUUAACUCUGUGAUAAGCCUGGGAAACUGGGUCUAAUACCGGAUAGGAGCGUCCACCGCAUGGUGGGUGUUGGAAAGAUUUAUCGGUUUUGGAUGGACUCGCGGCCUAUCAGCUUGUUGGUGAGGUAAUGGCUCACCAAGGCGACGACGGGUAGCCGGCCUGAGAGGGUGACCGGCCACACUGGGACUGAGACACGGCCCAGACUCCUACGGGAGGCAGCAGUGGGGAAUAUUGCACAAUGGGCGCAAGCCUGAUGCAGCGACGCCGCGUGAGGGAUGACGGCCUUCGGGUUGUAAACCUCUUUCAGUAGGGAAGAAGCGAAAGUGACGGUACCUGCAGAAGAAGCACCGGCUAACUACGUG
rnacentral:rRNA from 1 species